rnacentral:rRNA from 1 species
AGAAUCAACGCUGGCGGCGUGCCUAACACAUGCAAGUCGAACGCGAAAGUCCCGAAAGGGAUAAGUAGAGUGGCAAACGGGUGAGUAACACGUGGGUGACCUGCCUUCGAGCGGGGGAUAACGUCCCGAAAGGGACGCUAAUACCGCAUGACAUCCUGCCUUUGAAGAGGCGGAGAUCAAAGCCGGGGAUCGCAAGACCUGGCACUCGAAGAGGGGCCCGCGCCUGAUUAGCUAGUUGGUGGGGUAAUGGCUCACCAAGGCGACGAUCAGUA